rnacentral:rRNA from 1 species
GACGAACGCUGGCGGCGUGCUUAACACAUGCAAGUCGAACGGAAAGGCCCUGCUUUUGUGGGGUGCUCGAGUGGCGAACGGGUGAGUAACACGUGAGUAACCUGCCCUUGACUUUGGGAUAACUUCAGGAAACUGGGGCUAAUACCGGAUAGGAGCUCCUGCUGCAUGGUGGGGGUUGGAAAGUUUCGGCGGUUGGGGAUGGACUCGCGGCUUAUCAGCUUGUUGGUGGGGUAGUGGCUUACCAAGGCUUUGACGGGUAGCCGGCCUGAGAGGGUGACCGGCCACAAUGGGACUGAGAUACGGCCCAGACUCCUACGGGAGGCAGCAGUCGGGAAUAUUGCACAAUGGGCGGAAGCCUGAUGCAGCAACGUCGCGUGCGGGAUGACGGCCUUCGGGUUGUAAACCGCUUUCGCCUGUGACGAAGCGUGAGUGACGGUAAUGGGUAAAGAAGCACCGGCUAACUACGUG